rnacentral:rRNA from 1 species
GACGUAGGGCGCGAGCGUUGUCCGGAUUUAUUGGGCGUAAAGAGCUCGUAGGCGGCUCGUUGCGUCGGCUGUGAAAACCCGCAGCUCAACUGUGGGCUUGCAGCCGAUACGGGCGGGCUGGGAUUCGGUAGGGGAGACUGGAAUUCCUGGUGUAGCGGUGAAAUGCGCAGAUAUCAGGAGGAACACCGGUGGCGAAGGCAGCUCGCUGGGACGGUACUGACGCUGGAGACGCGAAAGCCGUGGGGAGCAAACAGG